UAUAGGACAAAUAAGAAUCUUACCUGCCUUGCUGGGUGCAGUGGCACAUGUCUGUAAUCCCAGGAGCUUGGGAGGCUAAAGCAGGAGGAUCGCAGGUUGAAAGCCAACCUCAACAAUUUAGUGAGGCCAUGAGCAACUUAGCAAGACCCUGUCUCAAAAUACAAAAAGGCUGAGGGAUGUUGCUCAGUGGUUAAACACCCUGGGUACCCUCCCCAAAAGGAAGAAUCUUAUCAGCCUCAUCCAUACCUUCUAUAAUUGGGCUUUAUUUUACUUAAACCUUUGCCCCUGUGUCUGAUACAGCUUUUUAUAUCCCCAAGGUAGAUAACUUUGCAAAGUAGAGAGUGUCAGAAUAGCAGAUCCAUUCUACAGAUGUGGAAUCUGAGACAUCUGGAGAGAAGGCGACUGCCUGGGGUCAUAACAGGAGAUUUGAAAGUACAUGUGUGGUUCCCACUGUCCGCUGCUGCCAUGGACCUCUUCAGAAGGAAGUGGGAAGGAAGCAGGGGUAUUUUUCCACUUCAUUUGAUAACAAGGUGAAGGGCCUCUCUUUGUCAACUCAGUUUGAAGGAGAACUUUCCUGGUGCACACAAAAAGGGGCAGAACACCCUCUGAUUCCCAGGGAAGAGAACAGAACGACUCCUAGGGCCAGAGAUUCUUAG